GGCUCCAUAGUGUAGUGGUUAGCAUGUCUGCUUUAUACGCAGAAGGUCCUAGGUUCACGCCCCAGGGGGAGCCA
rfam:Pteropus alecto contig46672, whole genome shotgun sequence.